rnacentral:rRNA from 1 species
ACUCCUACGGGAGGCAGCAGUAGGGAAUCUUCCACAAUGGGCGAAAGCCUGAUGGAGCAACGCCGCGUGGGUGAAGAAGGUCUUCGGAUCGUAAAACCCUGUUGUUAGAGAAGAAAGUGCGUGAGAGUAACUGUUCACGUUUCGACGGUAUCUAACCAGAAAGCCACGGCUAACUACGUGCCAGCAGCCGCGGUAAUACGUAGGUGGCAAGCGUUAUCCGGAUUUAUUGGGCGUAAAGGGAACGCAGGCGGUCUUUUAAGUCUGAUGUGAAAGCCUUCGGCUUAACCGGAGUAGUGCAUUGGAAACUGGAGACUUGAGUGCAGAAGAGGAGAGUGGAACUCCAUGUGUAGCGGUGAAAUGCGUAGAUAUAUGGAAGAACACCAGUGGCGAAAGCGGCUCUCUGGUCUGUAACUGACGCUGAGGUUCGAAAGCGUGGGUAGCAAACAGGAUUAGAUACCCCUGGUAGGAAAG